rnacentral:sRNA from 1 species
UGGAAAGAAGAUCGUCCUGUACUGUAG